UGAGCCACUGCGCCCACCGAUGGUGCCUUUAAACAGUACUCUUGAUUCCAGGUGACAGAAAUUCAAAUUAGCCUAAACCAUCAUGUAUUGGCCCAUGAAUCUAAAAUGUCCAGUGGCAGAGCUGGCUUUGGUCAUAGUCCAGGAGCUCAAUGGUCUGUGUCACUUCGUUCUACUUUCUCUUUGUUGGUGUCAUUUCAACAGGUUAUUCUCUGGCAGAGGCAAAGGUGACACCCAACCACUCCUGCCUCUAUCCUACCUAGCAACCCCAAGGCAAUACACUCUGUCUUGUCCAAUAGCUGCAGCAGAUGUCUUGGGUUUGAGCCUCAUUGGCCCUUCUGAGUGUCACAUGACCACACCCGAACCAAUCAGUGAGACUGGCGAGGCUGGGUGAACUGUCUUGAAUGGCUAGACCUGGGUCUUAACACCCACCCCUGCAGCCAGCCCCACUGAGAGGGCUGAGGGCGGGUGAGUCAAUGGUUCCCCAAAGGGAAUUUAGGGUACUGUUUCUGAAAAAAUGGACAAUGAAGGCUGAGUGGAAACAGCAGUCAUGGAAAGCACACAACAGACAAGUGCCUUUCUCUCUGCCUCUGCCACUCAAGGCCGCCUUAAGUUCCUCCAGUGUGCUAAUUGUUCCCCCGGGUCUUUUGAACACGUUGUUCUGUGUUUUUUGAAUGCUCUUCCAUACCUGUGCCUAAGUAACACCUGCUUAUCCUUCAGCUGUCAGCCCCAACAUCAUCUUCUCAGGGAAGCUGUAGCACUUGUAUUUUCCAAAAGUGGCCACAAUUAUUCAUUCAUGAGUAGAUGCUCAAUAAUAUCUUUUGAAUGAACGCAUGCAUGAAUAAAAGGUUAAAAUGUAAACAAAGUGAUCUUACACUCUUAUUGAGAAGGGUGGCCUGUGUUCCCUUCCGUUGAAUCCAGAUGAGCUUGAGGCUACUGUGGAACUGACAUGGUGUGACUUUUUUUUUUUUUUUUUUUUUUUUGAGAUGGAUUUUCACUCUUGUCACCCAGGCUGGAAUGCAAUGACGCAAUCUCGGCUCACUGCAACCUCCACUUCCCGGGUUCAAGCGAUUUUCCUGCCUCAGCCUCCCAAGUAGCUGGGAUUACAGGCGCAUGCCACUACACCCAGCUAAUUUUUGUAUUUUUAGUAGAGACGGGGUUUCACCAUGUUGGCCAGGCUGGUCUCUAACUCCAGACCUCAGGUGAUCCAUCCGCCUCAGCCUCCCAAGGUGCUGUGAUUAUAGGUUUGAGCCACUGCACCUGGCCAAUAAUAUCUUUUGAAUGAAUGAAUGCAUUAAUGAAAAGUUAAAACGCAAACAAGGUGACUUUGACACUCCUGUUGUGAAGGGUGGUCUGUGUUCCCUUCCCUUGAAUCCAGACGAGCUUGAGGCUACUGUGGAAGUGACAUGGUGUGACUUCUGAAACUGGUCAUAAAAGGUGAAAAGCUGGCCGGACAUCGUGGCUCACAUCUGUAAUCUCAGCACUUUGGAAGGAUGAGGCAGGAGGAUCAUUUGAGACUAGGAGUUCAAGACCAUGGAGGAGUGGAGUGGACUGGGCUGUGACCUGCCAAGGGCAACAAGCAAGACCCUGUCUCUCUCUCUCUCUCUUUUUUUUUUUUAAUAAAUAUGCCAGCCUGGCCAACAUGGCAAACCUAGCCUCUACUAAAAAUACAAUAAUUAGCUGGGCGUGGUGGCGCUCACUUGUAGUCCCAGCUACUUAGGAGGCUGAGGCACAAGAAUCACUUGAACCCAGGAAGUGGAGGUGGCAGUGAGCCAAGAUCAUGCCACUGCACACCAGCCUGGGUGACAGUGAGACUUUGUCUCAAUUGAAAAAAAAAAAAAAGAUAUGAAAAGCUCCCACUUGGCUCUGUUAGGAUGCUCCAUCUUGGAACCCAACCACCAUGCCAUAAGGAAGCUCAAGCAGCCCGUGGAGGGGGCCCCCAUAGAGAAGAAAUGGGAUCCCUGCCCACAGCCCUGGCUGAGUUCCCACCUGACAGCAAAUACCAAAUUGCCAGCCAUGUGACUGAGCCAUCCACAAAGUGGGUCUUCCAGAAUCUUGAUAACAUUGUACUCAGUGACAGAAGCCAGACACAAUAGGCCACGUAGUGUAUAUUCCAUUUGAAGUGUCUAGAACAGACAGAUCUAUAAAGACAGAAGAUAGAUGAGUGUUUCCAGGGACUAGGGGAAGAGGGAAUAGAAGAGACUGCUAAUGGUAUAUAUUCUGUUGUUGUUGUUCUUGUCAUUGUUGUUUAGAAACAGGGUCUCAUUCUGUCACCCAGGCUGGAGUGCAAUGGUGCGAUCAUAGCUCACUGCAGCCUGGAACUCUUGGGCUCAAUUGAUCCCCCUGUCUCAGCCUCCCGAGUAGCUGGGACCACAGGUGUGCGCCACCACAUCCAGAUAAGUAUAGGAUUUCUUUUUAGGGAAAAGGAAAUAUCGUGGAAUUAGAUAGCAAUAGUUGUACAAUCCUGUGAAUAUACUAAAAAGCAUUGAAUUGUAUGGUUUCACAUGGUGAAAUUUAUGGCAUGUAAAUUAUAUCUCAGAGACAACCAAAAAAAAGUGGGUCCUCCAGCCCCUGUCAAGCUGCCCCAUGUUGAGCAUGGCAUGUGGAACACAGACUUGCUGUCCAGGCCACAUCCUGCCCAAAUUGCAGAUUUGGGGGUGAAAUCAAUGAUUGUUGUUGUUUUAAGCCACUAAGUUUUAGGACAGUGUGUUGCAUAGAAACUCGUGCUGUCCAACCUGGCUAACUUUGUGAAACCUCAUCUCUACUAAAAACACAAAAAUUAGCCAGGUGUGGUGGCACACGCCUGUAAUCCCAGCUGCUUGGGAGGCCGAGGCAUGAGAAUCGCUUGAACCUGGGAGGCAGAAGUUGCAGUGAGCCGAGAUGGUUCCACUGCACUCCACUAAAAAUACAAAAAUUAGCCAGGUGUGUUGGCACAAGCCUGUAACCCCAGCUACUUGGGAGGCUGAGGCAUGAGAAUUGCUUGAACCUGGGAGGUGGAAGUUGCAGUGAGAUGAGACGGUGCCACUGCACUCCAACCUGGGCAACAGAGCAAGACGCCAUCUCAAAAAAAAAAAAGAAAAAGAAAAAAAGAAAAGAAAAGAAAAAAGAAAAAGAAAGAAAGAAACACAUGCUGAUAUGGAAGCCUUCCAUAACCACCAACCUAGGCUAGGUUAUGGCCCCUGACUGUCUCAGAAUCUCUGCAUUUUUCAUUAUAGUAUUUAUCUGAGUUUGUAAUUAAAUAUUUGAUGAAUUGCUGCCCUUUCUCUUGGCCAGUGAGCUCUAUGUGAGUAGAGACCGUGUUUACUUUUUUGAGACAAAGUCUUGCUCUGUUGCACAGGCUAGAGUGCAGUGGUGUGAUCUCAGCUCACUGCAACCUCCACUUCCUGGGUUCAAGCGAUUCUCCUGCCUCAGCCUCCCAAGUUGCUAGGAUUACAGGCAUGUGCCACCACCAUGCCCAGAUAAUUUUUGUAUUGUUACUAGAGACGGGUUUUGUCAUGUUGGCCAGGCUGGUCUCGAACUCCUGACCUCAAGCGAUCCACCCACCUUUACCUCCGAAAGUGCUGAGAUUACAGGCAUGAGCCACCUCACCCAGCCAGGAUCCUGUUUAUUAUAUUUACUCUAGUAUCCUUAGUGCCUGGUACAUAGUAGAUGCUCAAUAAUAUCUUUCGAAUGAAUGAAUUCAUGAAUGAAAGGUUAAAAUGCAAAGAGAUUUAGGGUCCAAGUGGAGGGUUCCUAGGGUCUUCCUAGUUGAGUAGGAGACAGAGUGACCAAAGAGCAGGUGGAAGAUGGAGGUGAGGUAGAGGAUUUGCGGAGAAUGGAGAACAUCUGGGAAGGGGAGAGGAAGGAUGAGGAAUUUGACAAGAGAAAACUGGAGCAUAAAUAUGUUCUUACACACCUAAUCCAGGCCAUCUGGUGUCGAGGCGACAAGAAUGGAGACCAUGGAGGAGUGGAGUGGACUGGGCUGUGACCUGCCAAGGGGGGAAUGGCCACACAGGUACCCAGGAUUCACCAUCCAGUUCAGUGUAACAACAGAGCUUGCGCAGAUAACCAGGAUGCUGCAGUGGGGCUCUAGGUGGAAAAUCAAAGCUUCAAGGAGAUCAGGGACAUGUGUGUAAGAAUCUUCUCGCAAACCAGGGCAGCAGGGAGGGUCCAGUCAUGGAACCAGGUGCCACCUCACCUGGCUGAGUUCAAGAUUGGCUCUAACCCAAAUCACCUGCAAGACCUUGAGCAACAUACUUAACCCUUCUCUGCUUCAAUUUUAUUUUUGUUACAUUGAUCGAAAGUCAGAAAGGAAAGGAAGUCCUCAUUGGUACAGAGGUUAGGAAAAUUGGAAGAGAUUUUGGAGAGGGUAUCAGGUUUAUCCUACAUUCUUUAUCAGCAUGAAAAAGUCCUCCUUUGGGCUUUUUGUUUGUUUUGAUUUUUGUUUUUUGUUUUUGGGGUUUUUUUUGAGACAGAGUCUUGCUCUGUCGUCCAGACUGGAGUGCAGUGGUGUGAUCUCGGCUCACUGCAGCCUCCGCCUCCCAGGUUCCAGCAAUUCUCCUGCCUCAGCCUCCUGAGUAGCUCGGACUACAGGCGCCCACCACCAUGCCCAGCUAAUUUUUGUAUUUUUAGUAGAGACAGGGUUUUGCCAUGUUGGCCGUGCUGGUGUUGAACUCCUGACCUCAGGUGAUCCACCCACCUCGGCCUCCCAAAGUGCUGGAAUUACAGGGUUGAGCUAGCCAAAAAAGUCUUCACUUGGUUAAGCACAGUGGCUCACACCUGUAAUCUCAGAACUUUGGGAGGACAAGGUGGGAGGAUCACUUGAGGCCAGGAGUUCAAUACCACCUUGGGUAACAUAACAAGAAUUUGUCUCUACAAAAUAUUAAAAAAUAAAAAAAAAUUAGCCAGGUGUUGUAAUGGUACGCACCUGUAGUCCCAGCCACUCAGGGAGGUUGAGGUGGGAGAAUCGCUUGAGCCCAGGAAUUCAAGGCUACAGUGAGCUAUGAUUGUACCACUGCACUCUAGCCUGGGCGACAGAGCAAGACCCUAUCUAAAAAAAAAAAAAAAAAAAGGCCGGGCACAGUGGCUCACGC
rnacentral:lncRNA from 1 species